UAUACACAAGGGAUUAAAACAAACUUCAGUCAAGCACAUUCUAAACUUUCAUUACAUUACAUAACAUACUUUUACAUUACAAAUAAACCAUGUCCACUACUAUACUAUUACAUAGACUUCUCUUACACUUGCUGACUUCUCUAUCUACGCUGCACCUGCAAGACUGGGGUUAGGGGAGAGGGGUGAGCUAUAAAGCCCAGUGAGCAGAAAGAUAAAAAAUAUGUGAUUUAGUUUCACCAUUUUUAUGUUUAUUAUUAUUUAUUUUAUUAUUCUUAUCAUAGUUAUUAUUAUUAUUAUUAUUAUUAUUAUUCAUUUUAUUUCUUAUCAUCAAUUUAUUUAACCUUUUCUUUUUCUUAUUCAUGCUUUCAUGAAAUGCAACACAUCACAGCUAAUCACAUAAAGGAUGGUAUUGUCACCAUUAGUCCUCAACAUCUCCAAAUGCCAGGGGCGUAGAAUGGGCCUCACUGGUCUUUCUCUUACAUAACAUAACAUAACAUAACAUUCUAAAGUGACAGGGGCGUAGAAUGGGCCUCGCUGGUCUUUCUCUUACAUAGUGCCAGGGGCGUAGAAUGGGCCUCGCUGGUCUUCCAUAACAUAUCAUCAUAACAUAACAUCAGAGGACUAUGGAUCACCCAACAACCAUCCACAUCAACAUCAAAUUAUGCAAUGCAACAUAUUCGUGAAUUUCUAAUGCAAACAUCCUGGAAUAUUUCAUGGCAUUAAUGAUGCAUGAGUAUGCUUUCAGAUUCAUUCAUUUGUUCAUUUAUUCAAUUACUUUACUUAUAAACUUAGGGAGUUAUCCCACUCACCUGGUGACUGAAGCUUUAACAACGGACUCUGAACGACUAUCUCACAACCGGGGGUCUCGGUUCCUCGGGUCCGAACCUACACAGGUGGACUCAAAUGAGGCACCAAACAAUAAGAACAUAACUCUAAACAUACCCCCAAAAACCUCCUAAAAACACCUCAAAACAUCCC
rnacentral:lncRNA from 1 species